rnacentral:rRNA from 1 species
UACGGAGGGGGCUAGCGUUGUUCGGAAUUACUGGGCGUAAAGCGCGCGUAGGCGGUGUGUCACGUCGGCCGUGAAAACCUGCAGCUUAACUGUGGGCGUGCGGUCGAUACGGGCAUCACUGGAGUUCGGCAGGGGAGACUGGAAUUCCUGGUGUAGCGGUGAAAUGCGCAGAUAUCAGGAGGAACACCGGUGGCGAAGGCGGGUCUCUGGGCCGAUACUGACGCUGAGGAGCGAAAGCGUGGGGAGCAAACAGG